rnacentral:pre_miRNA from 1 species
CUGUGGAUCUGAUCCAAAGCCCACUGGAGUCAAUGGAAGUCUUUCCAUUGAUUCCAGUGGGCUUUAGAUCAGAUCCUAUGUAG